GGGGCAGGACCUGCAGGCAGAAGCGGGGCUGACGGGGCAGAGGGUUCCGCCCCCUCACCACCCCUCCUGCCUGCAGCGCUGGGC
rnacentral:miRNA from 1 species